rnacentral:rRNA from 1 species
CCCGGCGACCGGCGCACGGGUGAGUAACACGUAUACAACCUGGCCGCCACAGGGGGAUAACCCGCGGAAACGCGGCCUAAUACCCCGUGACGCCACCGGAGGGCAUCCUCCGGUGGCCAAAGGAGCGAUCCGGUGGCGGAUGGGCAUGCGGCGCAUUAGCUAGACGGCGGGGUGACGGCCCACCGUGGCGACGAUGCGUAGGGGUUCUGAGAGGAAGGCCCCCCACACUGGGACUGAGACACGGCCCAGACUCCUACGGGAGGCAGCAG